rnacentral:rRNA from 1 species
UCCUACGGGGCGCAGCAGUGGGGAAUAUUGGGCAAUGGGCGCAAGCCUGACCCAGCAACGCCGCGUGAGUGAAGAAGGUUUUCGGAUCGUAAAACUCUGUCCGGAGGGAAGAAUCAAUGACGGUACCUCCGGAGGAAGCCCCGGCUAAUUACGUGCCAGCAGCCGCGGUAAUACGUAAGGGGCGGGCGUUGUCCGGAAUGACUGGGCGUAAAGGGUGCGUAGGUGGUAUCUUAAGUCAGAUGUGAAAGGCUCCUGCUCAACGGGAGAGUUGCAUUUGAAACUGGGGUACUUGAGUGCAGGAGGGGGAAGCGGAAUUCCUGGUGUAGCGGUGAAAUGCGUAGAGAUCAGGAGGAACACCGGUGGCGAAGGCGGCUUUCUGGACUGUAACUGACACUGAGGCACGAAAGCGUGGGGAGCAAACAGGAUUAGAUACCCCGGUAGG